UACAGAGGUCUCGAGCGUUAGGCGGAAUCACUGGGCUUAAAGCGUGUGUAGGCGGAUCGUUAAGUGCCUUGUGAAAUCCCACGGCUCAACCCGUGGAACUGCUUGGCAUACUGGCGGUCUUGAGCAACCUAGGGGCGAGCGGAACAAAUGGUGGAGCGGUGAAAUGCGUAGAUAUCAUUUGGAACGCCAAUGGUGAAAACAGCUCGCUGGGGGUUUGCUGACGCUGAGACACGAAAGCCAGGG
rnacentral:rRNA from 1 species